UACGAAGGGGGCUAGCGUUGUUCGGAUUUACUGGGCGUAAAGCGCACGCAGGCGGAUCGUUAAGUUAGGGGUGAAAUCCUGGAGCUCAACUCCAGAACUGCCUCUAAUACUGGCGAUCUAGAGUCCGGAAGAGGUGAGUGGAACUCCUAGUGUAGAGGUGGAAUUCGUAGAUAUUAGGAAGAACACCAGUGGCGAAGGCGGCUCACUGGUCCGGUACUGACGCUGAGGUGCGAAAGCGUGGGGAGCAAACAGG
rnacentral:rRNA from 1 species